rnacentral:rRNA from 1 species
CCUACGGGAGGCAGCAGUGAGGAAUAUUGGUCAAUGGACGAGAGUCUGAACCAGCCAAGUAGCGUGAAGGAUGACUGCCCUAUGGGUUGUAAACUUCUUUUAUAUGGGAAUAAAAUGUUCCACGUGUGGGAUUUUGUAUGUACCAUCUGAAUAAGGAUCGGCUAACUCCGUGCCAGCAGCCGCGGUAAUACGGAGGAUCCGAGCGUUAUCCGGAUUUAUUGGGUUUAAAGGGAGCGUAGGUGGAUUGUUAAGUCAGUUGUGAAAGUUUGCGGCUCAACCGUAAAAUUGCAGUUGAAACUGGCAGUCUUGAGUACAGUAGAGGUGGGCGGAAUUCGUGGUGUAGCGGUGAAAUGCUUAGAUAGCACGAAGAACUCCGAUUGCGAAGGCAGUUCACUGGACUGCAACUGACACUGAGGCUCGAAAGUGUGGGUAUCAAACAGGAUUAGAUACCCCAGUAGUC